CAUCCUUCUAAAGACGAGGGAGGCCCUGGGCCAGGUGGAGGAGACCUUUGUCCUGACCGACAGUCAGGGCAAUGAAAUACAGGACUCCGAUGGCACAAGAACAUCGCAGUUCUGGAGGCAGAACAGCCGAAAGGUUUUCGUGCUGCUGGAGGGGGAAUUUGAGGACCUCCAGCAGCAAAGACGGGCCAAAGUGAGUCGCAGGGAAGACAACACCCUGCUGGACCGGGCAGAGGAGGGGAAGGUGGCUGCCGAGUCCCUGGAGAAUGUGGCUAACGCCAUUAAGAAGAUGUCAGAGGUGGCUACUGCCCACCUGCAAAGACCAAGCUUGCAGCCCGCCAAGGAUGCUAUGUCCUGCCUGGUUUGCAAAGCGGUUUUCAUGGAUCCACAAUUCGCGACAUGCUGUGAAUCCUUGGUGGGCUGCAGGGUCUGUGUGCAGCGGUGGUGUGCCUCCUCCGACUUCUGCCUGAAGUGCCGUGCAGCAAACUUUGCUGCCAACGUCCUAGCAGUGCGUGGCUUGUCUCCGGCUGCUGAUUUUUUCAGGGACUUUGAGGUUGAUGCCUAAUUUCUUUUUAGUGUGUGUGUGUGUGUUUCCUUUAAGACAGUUUCCACCCCGUUACCCGUUGGAGCUUCUUUUCACUCCCGUUACGUUUUGGCAUGCAACACACCUCACUGCACCUCACUGCAUUGUUCACGCAUCCAUGCACUCACUCUAUUGUUCACGCAUCCAUGCACUCUACAUUACGGACUUUACUGACUUCCACGCUCUACCGUUUUGCUCCUGUUCGUCUUUGUAUGUG
ensembl:lncRNA